rnacentral:rRNA from 1 species
CUGGCUCAGGACGAACGCUGGCGGCGUGCUUAACACAUGCAAGUCGAGCGAGGAAAUUGCUUCGGUAAUUUUCUAGCGGCGGACGGGUGAGUAACACGUGGGCAACCUGCCUGAUAGAGGGGGAU